rnacentral:rRNA from 1 species
GACGAACGCUGGCGGCGUGCCUAAUACAUGCAAGUCGAGCGAAGUUUUUCUGGUGCUUGCACCGGAAAAACUUAGCGGCGAACGGGUGAGUAACACGUAAAGAACCUGCCUCAUAGACUGGGACAACUAUUGGAAACGAUAGCUAAUACCGGAUAACAGCAUUAACUGCAUGGUUGAUGUUUGAAAGUUGGUUUUGCUAACACUAUGAGAUGGCUUUGCGGUGCAUUAGCUAGUUGGUGGGGUAAAGGCCUACCAAGGCGACGAUGCAUAGCCGACCUGAGAGGGUGAUCGGCCACACUGGGACUGAGACACGGCCCAGACUCCUACGGGAGGCAGCAGUAGGGAAUCUUCCGCAAUGGGCGAAAGCCUGACGGAGCAACGCCGCGUGAGUGAAGAAGGAUUUCGGUUCGUAAAGCUCUGUUGUAAGAGAAGAACGAGUGUGAGAGUGGAAAGUUCACACUGUGACGGUAUCUUACCAGAAAGGGACGGCUAACUACGUGCCAGCAGCCGCGGUAAUACGUAGGUCCCGAGCGUUGUCCGGAUUUAUUGGGCGUAAAGCGAGCGCAGGCGGUUAGAUAAGUCUGAAGUUAAAGGCUGUGGCUUAACCAUAGUACGCUUUGGAAACUGUUUAACUUGAGUGCAAGAGGGGAGAGUGGAAUUCCAUGUGUAGCGGUGAAAUGCGUAGAUAUAUGGAGGAACACCGGUGGCGAAAGCGGCUCUCUGGCUUGUAACUGACGCUGAGGCUCGAAAGCGUGGGGAGCAAACAGG